rnacentral:lncRNA from 1 species
UCUGCUCCUUGCCUGAAUUCUGCCUGAAUUUCUGACUGGUGAGGCUUAGUGGAAGCAGCUUCUUCCCUGUGAGCAGGAGGGCAGCUGCUCUCUGCCUGUCUCUGCCUCUCAACAGAGAAGCAAAAGGAUUGCCUCUUUCCUGCAUUUUGAAGAACCUUCCUCCUCAUCCCACCUGAAGAGAGAUAAAUGCCAAAAUCUUAAACUCCAGAAUGUCCCAAGUUGGAAGAGACCUGUAGAAGUGUGGUCAUCUUUGAAGUCUAAUUUAAAUGGGUAUUUUGUGAGAAAUAAAAUGCACUUCACAGCUCUCUCUGUCAUGUACUAUAAUUGCAAUCAACAUUUCUGUGUAUCAUAAUAAUGAUGAAGAUGAUGAUGAUGGCCACUGUUUCCCACCUCUUUGCUGCAGGAAAAGAGCUGACUGCAACAGGAUGUGCUGUUUUCUGUCUAUGUGCACUUCGCUUUCUCAACAGAAAAGACAAAAAAAAAAAGGGAAAACAAAAACUGAAGACUGAAAAUGGACGAAAACAAAACAGAUCUUGGUGCUUGUGUUUCUUUGCACUGGGAGAGAAAGAAAUGAGAGUUAAAAUAUCUAGAUUUUAUAAAGAUACAAUGAAAACUCGAUAACAAAUCCAUAACAAAUAUCACUGAUAAUGUACAAAAUGAUAAAAUCUCAUUUUCAUGCUCUUUUUGGGUUGUUUUAUUUGUUCAU